rnacentral:rRNA from 1 species
CCUACGGGUGGCAGCAGUAGGGAAUAUUGGGCAAUGGACGAAAGUCUGACCCAGCCAUGCCGCGUGCAGGAUGACUGCCCUAUGGGUUGUAAACUGCUUUUCUAUGGGAAGAAACACUCAUACGUGUAUGAACUUGACGGUACCAUAGGAAUAAGGAUCGGCUAACUCCGUGCCAGCAGCCGCGGUUAUACGGAGGAUCCAAGCGUUGUCCGGUUUCAUUGGGGUGAAAGGGUACUUAGGAGUCAGAGGUGAAAUCUUGCGGCUCAACCGUACAAUUGCCUUUGAAACUGGUAGUCUUGAGUUCGGUCGAGGUGGAUGGAAUGUGUCAUGUAGCGGUGAAAUGCUUAGAUAUGACCCAGAACACCAAUUGCGAAGGCAGUUCACUAGACCGAUACUGACGCUGAGGCACGAAAGCGUGGGGAGCGAACAGGAUUAGAUACCCUGGUAGUC